CACCUCUUCUCCAUUUUACCAACCCUCCCUCUCCGAUGCCGCCGUGCCCUUCGCUCUGCUACCACCGUGUCGUUGCUCUACUGCUCCUGCACCCAUCGUUGCCCCAUCACACUCACGCCGCCGUCCCCCCGUCCCUGUUUCAAAUUGAAAACACGUCGUAGCACCUCCUUCUCUGUAUGAAUCUCCAGUUAAUAUCUUCAGCGUUUUAGAGAUGUUGAUUAUUGAAGCAGAUAUGCAAACUCUCGGUGAUUGUCGCUUGAUCUUCAUCUUCCUCUCUUCGAGUCUCAAAUGGAAUGCUUUAUAGCAAAACCACAGGUUAAUUUUGCUUCUAUUUCACUGAAUAUAUGCACACACGUCAAGCGAAAAUUGGGAAAGAGAUAGCUAUUUUCUCAUCUGCGUCAUUAUCAGAGGUAAUAUGCAAGCCUUCUCUACAGGCCUCUGAGCAAAAUUGGUUUACUCUUAGGUACGUGUCAUAUGAACUCCUCAAUUUUCAUCAACUAUGUGGAUAGGGUGCUAUUCUAU